UUUGCUUCUCAGCCUUUUGGCUAAGAUCAAGUGUAGUAUCUGGCAACUUACCACUAUCUAUAACAUUGCUAAAGUUUGCAUGAUGGUACUUAAGAUGUGAAUAGAUAACAGGGACUCCAGUAAAACUACUGUAAUCCUUCUUCCUCAGUAGCUGUAGUGCAUAACCUUCCAUUGCCUUUAGGUUACCAUCUGUUUUA